CCUACGGGUGGCAGCAGUGGGGAAUAUUGCACAAUGGGGGAAACCCUGAUGCAGCGACGCCGCGUGAGUGAAGAAGUAAUUCGUUAUGUAAAGCUCUAUCAGCAGGGAAGAAAAUGACGGUACCUGAGUAAGAAGCCCCGGCUAACUACGUGCCAGCAGCCGCGGUAAGACGUAGGGGGCAAGAGUUAUCCGGAUUUACUGGGUGUAAAGGGAGCGUAGACGGCAGUGCAAGUCUGGAGUUAAAGGCGGGGGCUCAACCCCCGGACUGCUCUGGAAACUGUACGGCUGGAGGGCAGGAGAGGUAAGUGGAAUUCCUAGUGUAGCGGUGAAAUGCGUAGAUAUUAGGAGGAACACCAGUGGCGAAGGCGGCUUACUGGACUGUAACUGACGUUGAGGCUCGAAAGCGUGGGGAGCAAACAGGAUUAGAUACCCCUGUAGUC
rnacentral:rRNA from 1 species